rnacentral:rRNA from 1 species
AUACGGAGGGUCCGAGCGUUAUCCGGAAUCAUUGGGUUUAAAGGGUCCGUAGGCGGGAAUCUAAGUCAGUGGUGAAAUCUUGCAGCUCAACUGUAAAAUUGCCAUUGAUACUGGAUUUCUUGAAUUAGCGUGAAGUGGUCAGAAUGUGUAGUGUAGCGGUGAAAUGCAUAGAUAUUACACAGAAUACCAAUUGCGAAGGCAGAUCACUAACACUAUAUUGACGCUAAGGGACGAAAGCGUGGGGAGCGAACAGAAUUAGAAACCCUAGUAGUCC